rnacentral:sRNA from 1 species
AGGUAGCGUUGUUUUGUAGGUGUGGAGAUACAUGGAGACAUGUGUGCUGGGGAAGAUUUGACGAGGAUAAAGUUGACUAGGGGUUAGUGAGCCGUGGAGCCCCGGUGCGGAUUGAGCCUCAUCGGGAGUUUACUUCAACAUGAAGAGCGCGAGGCUACACAACGUCCAGAUCCAACAUUUUGCAUUUUGGCAUCCAGAACACUCCCAUCCUUCGCGAGGUUGACUCGUGAUCUACCACCCUACGGAAUGUAAACUACAAACCCGAGAAUUUUUGUGCUUCUCAAUGAGCAAGGCUGAACAAUGGGGGCGGAGGAGUUUGACACAUCAAUAUUUUAUGUUUCGCACAAUUUUCUAGAACACAGAGGAAGUUUUGAAUGGCCGUCUCAUAUCUCUAAUAGCUGGCUUGGCCAGUGAGCUUGUUGCUGAGGUUCAUGCACCAUCAGGUUUUAAAGACACUUGGGAGGAAGGGGAAGAACUGGCAGCGUAUGGGUCGAGUGAUUGGUCCUGGGCAAUGCAGCCUUCCUCUUGCUUCGAAGCGAUAGUGAAAAUUUUCAGGAAUUUGAUUACUUCACCUCAUUUCCCAAUGAGGUGAUUUCCAGUCGGGUUGUUGUUCGCAAAUGAGGUGGUGGCAUCGAUGGAAUCCGGUUAUGACUGGGUUCAGGAUGCAACUGGCUACAUUGUUCUCACAUAAGAGUUGAAGACCAAUUGGUCGUAUAGUUACAAA